AGAGUUUGAUUCUGGCUCAGAACGAACGCUGGCGGCGUGGAUAAGACAUGCAAGUCGAACGGGGUUAUAAUUGUAGUAAUACAAUUAUAGCUUAGUGGCGAACGGGUGCGUAACACGUGAGCAAUCUGCCGGGAAGUGGGGGAUAGCUCGCCGAAAGGCGAAUUAAUACCGCAUGUGGCCAGAGGGGACAUCCCUUCGACGCCAAAGUCGCAAGACGCUUCCUGAUGAGCUCGCGGCCUAUCAGCUUGUUGGUGAGGUAAUGGCUCACCAAGGCUAUGACGGGUAGCUGGUCUGAGAGGACGACCAGCCACACUGGAACUGAGACACGGUCCAGACACCUACGGGUGGCAGCAGUCGAGAAUUUUUCUCAAUGGGGGAAACCCUGAAGGAGCGACGCCGCGUGGAGGAUGAAGGUCUUCGGAUUGUAAACUCCUGUCAUUGGGGAACAAACCGUGCGGGUUAACUGCCCGUGCGCUGAUAGUACCCGAAGAGGAAGAGACGGCUAACUCUGUGCCAGCAGCCGCGGUAAUACAGAGGUCUCAAGCGUUGUUCGGAUUCAUUGGGCGUAAAGGGUGCGUAGGUGGCGUGGAAAGUUGAGUGUGAAAUCCUAGGGCUUAACCUUAGAACUGCACUCAAUACUCCCAUGCUAGAGGAAUGUAGAGGAGAGUGGAAUUCACGGUGUAGCAGUGAAAUGCGUAGAUAUCGUGAGGAAGACCAGUUGCGAAGGCGACUCUCUGGGCAUCUCCUGACACUGAGGCACGAAGGCUAGGGGAGCAAACGGGAUUAGAUACCCCGGUAGUCCUAGCAGUAAACGGUGCACGUUUGGUGUGGGCAGGCUCAGACCCUGUCCGUGCCGGAGCUAACGCGUUAAACGUGCCGCCUGGGAAGUACGGUCGCAAGAUUAAAACUCAAAGAAAUUGACGGGGGCCCGCACAAGCGGUGGAGUAUGUGGCUUAAUUCGAUGCAACGCGAAGAACCUUA
rnacentral:rRNA from 1 species